UACGUAGGCAGCGAGCGUUGUUCGGAGUUACUGGGCGUAAAGGGCGCGUAGGCGGCCUGCUAAGUCGAACGUGAAAUCCCUGGGCUCAACCCAGGAACUGCGUCCGAUACUGGUUGGCUUGAAUCCGGGAGAGGGAUGUGGAAUUCCAGGUGUAGCGGUGAAAUGCGUAGAUAUCUGGAGGAACACCGGUGGCGAAGGCGACAUCCUGGACCGGCAUUGACGGCUG
rnacentral:rRNA from 1 species